rnacentral:lncRNA from 1 species
AUGUAUAGAUCUUUUCUAAUCCAUAUAUGAAAGAAAAGUAAAGUAAAACUUUAGCUUAUUUUCUUAUUAUGUAUUGCAUCCAUUUCAUUCAAUAGAUCACUUGCAUGUUCUUUAUGCAUUAUCCGUCAUGAAGAUCAACACACAUUGUAUUACUCUUGAUUAACAUUUUCACCUUGGUAUAAAUUGCUAAUCUUCUCGUAUUCA